rnacentral:misc_RNA from 1 species
GCUUAAAUUUUAACAAAAUUCCGUUUUCUAUAUCCUUCCUGUUAAUUUCUUCGCAGAUUACUGUUUGCAGCAAAAUCAUCAACUGGUCUGCUGGAGUUUUGGCGCAGGAAUAAUGGCAACUCUGGCUGAUUCUUUCCUGGCAGAUCUGGACGAGUUGUCCGAUAAUGAAGCUGAUGUUAUUGAUGAGGAGAAUCUUGAUGUUGAUCAGAUGGAGGAAGAUGGAGACUUAGCAGACAUUGAAGCACUUAAUUAUGAUGAUCUAGACAAUGUCUCCAAGCUGCAAAAAUCACGUCGCUAUGUUGAAAUAAUGCAGAAAGUCGAAGAUGCACUUGAGAAGGAGUCUGAUGUCACGAAUAAAGGUGUUGUUCUUGAAGAUGAACCUGAG